rnacentral:lncRNA from 1 species
GCUAUCAGAGCAGGGAGCCCUGAUCUCUGGAUAAUCAUUAAAACUCAGGCCCAGACAAGUUAGAGAGCAGGCCAGGAAAACAGGAGCAGGAAGAAUUGGGAGCAGAUUUUAUAAAGAAUGGAGGACCAAAAGCAAAGCUGCCCUCCAUCCCGGAAGAGUCCGAAGGACCUUCUACAAAAUGAGGGACUCACGUGGCCUCAGACUCGCUCUCUAGCCAAGGGUAACCUCUAACUUGCUGAGCCUCUAGGAAGACCACAGCAGAUACCCAAGCUCUCUGCAAAAGCUCCUCAAAUUCCAAUCUCUUCUGGACCCUUCAAGUGCUGGGAUUGCAGCAAGAAAAACAAAACCAGAGGAAGGGGUGAGAGAAAAAAAAGCAAAUGGGGAACUGAAAAAUUAUUGAAGGGCUGGUGAGGUGACUCAGUGGAAAAAGGAGCUUGCUGUCAAGUCUGAAGACCAGAGUUCAAUUCCCAGGACCCACCUGGUGGAAGUUGUCUUCAAACUGCCCCAUGAAUAUUCAAACACAAGCAUGUAUAUUCAUACAAAAUAAAUAAAUAUAAUUUAAAAAAAUAAACGGC